rnacentral:misc_RNA from 1 species
GAUGAAGAACGCAGCGAAAUGCGAUAAGUAAUGUGAAUUGCAGAAUUCAGUGAAUCAUCGAAUCUUUGAACGCACAUUGCGCCCACUAGUAUUCUGGCGGGCAUGCCUGUUCGAGCGUCAUUUCAACCAUCAAGCCCCAGGCUUGUGUUGGAGCCCUGCGGCUGCCGCAGCCUCCCAAAACCAGUGGCGGGCUCGCUAUCACACCGAGUGCAGUAGUUUACUCUUCGCUCAGGGCGUGUGGCGGGUGCUAGCCGUAAAACCCCCAACUUCUCAAGGUUGACCUCGGAUCAGGUAGGAAUACCCGCUGAACUUAAGCAUAUCAAUAAGCGGAGGA